rnacentral:rRNA from 1 species
UACGUAGGGGGCAAGCGUUGUCCGGAUUUAUUGGGCGUAAAGAGCGUGUAGGCGGCUUUGCAAGUCCGUUGUGAAAACUCGAGGCUCAACCUCGAGACGCCGGUGGAAACUGCAAAGCUAGAGUCCGGAAGAGGAGAGUGGAAUUCCUGGUGUAGCGGUGAAAUGCGCAGAUAUCAGGAAGAACACCCGUGGCGAAGGCGGCUCUCUGGGACGGUACUGACGCUGAGGCGCGAAGGCCAGGGGAGCAAACGGG